CACUUAAGCAACAUAAUUAGUUCGCGUCUGAUCCCAACUAUAAUAGAUAGAUCAUUCGCUUGAUCAACAUCAUUGAACUCCUUUCGUCGGCUCACUGCCUCACCACCUUCAGCCUCAACCACCUGUGCAAAAUAUUUCUUAAUGUGUUCAAUGUAUUCUUCCUCCCAGUACCAACCUGUACAUCCGCCGGUACCGUCCCA
rnacentral:lncRNA from 1 species